rnacentral:lncRNA from 1 species
CAGAAUCAUAGCUUUUUUUUUUUUUUAAUCUUUCUAAUUCUUGCUUAUUGCCUAGGUCUUAGUGGAGCAGACAUAUCAGCUAGAUGAAUUUCUUGAUGGAAAAGUGUGUUCAGCUAUUACAGUGAGUGCGGGUGGAAGUGAGUUUUCUGGGUGAGGUCUCUGUUGAAGGCAUGCUGUUACCACCUAGUGUGGGAUGGUACAAGUACACCUGGUACAAGAGGUACUGCCUUGUGCACAUGGCCGUCUCCUCAGUUUGAUCAUGCUCAGGUGUGUUUUUAAGAAGAGUUUUGACCAUGAGAAAGUCCACAUGUUAGUCAAUUUUUACUAAUCCCACCGAAGAAAAUGAAGCCGCACUUCAGCUUUGCCGAUCCUUUUCCCACCACCGUUGGCUGAAUGAGAAAUGGUCGUGU